GUCGCAAGACCAAAGUGGGGGACCUUCGGGCCUCAUGCCAUCAGAUGUGCCCAGAUGGGAUUAGCUAGUAGGUGGGGUAACGGCUCACCUAGGCGACGAUCCCUAGCUGGUCUGAGAGGAUGACCAGCCACACUGGAACUGAGACACGGUCCAGACUCCUACGGGAGGCAGCAGUGGGGAAUAUUGCACAAUGGGCGCAAGCCUGAUGCAGCCAUGCCGCGUGUGUGAAGAAGGCCUUCGGGUUGUAAAGCACUUUCAGCGGGGAGGAAGGCGAUAAGGUUAAUAACCUUGUCGAUUGACGUUACCCGCAGAAGAAGCACCGGCUAACUCCGUGCCAGCAGCCGCGGUAAUACGGAGGGUGCAAGCGUUAAUCGGAAUUACUGGGCGUAAAGCGCACGCAGGCGGUCUGUCAAGUCGGAUGUGAAAUCCCCGGGCUCAACCUGGGAACUGCAUUCGAAACUGGCAGGCUAGAGUCUUGUAGAGGGGGGUAGAAUUCCAGGUGUAGCGGUGAAAUGCGUAGAGAUCUGGAGGAAUACCGGUGGCGAAGGCGGCCCCCUGGACAAAGACUGACGCUCAGGUGCGAAAGCGUGGGGAGCAAACAGGAUUAGAUACCCUGGUAGUCCACGCCGUAAACGAUGUCGAUUUGGAGGUUGUGCCCUUGAGGCGUGGCUUCCGGAGCUAACGCGUUAAAUCGACCGCCUGGGGAGUACGGCCGCAAGGUUAAAACUCAAAUGAAUUGACGGGGGCCCGCACAAGCGGUGGAGCAUGUGGUUUAAUUCGAUGCAACGCGAAGAACCUUACCUGGUCUUGACAUCCACAGAACUUUCCAGAGAUGGAUUGGUGCCUUCGGGAACUGUGAGACAGGUGCUGCAUGGCUGUCGUCAGCUCGUGUUGUGAAAUGUUGGGUUAAGUCCCGCAACGAGCGCAACCCUUAUCCUUUGUUGCCAGCGGUUAGGCCGGGAACUCAAAGGAGACUGCCAGUGAUAAACUGGAGGAAGGUGGGGAUGACGUCAAGUCAUCAUGGCCCUUACGACCAGGGCUACACACGUGCUACAAUGGCAUAUACAAAGAGAAGCGACCUCGCGAGAGCAAGCGGACCUCAUAAAGUAUGUCGUAGUCCGGAUUGGAGUCUGCAACUCGACUCCAUGAAGUCGGAAUCGCUAGUAAUCGUAGAUCAGAAUGCUACGGUGAAUACGUUCCCGGGCCUUGUACACACCGCCCGUCACACCAUGGGAGUGGGUUGCAAAAGAAGUAGGUAGCUUAACCUUCGGGAGGGCGCUUACCACUUUGUGAUUCAUGACUGGGGUGAAGUCGUAACAAGGUAACCGUAGGGGAACCUGCGGUUGGAUCACCUCCUUACCUUAAAGAA
rnacentral:rRNA from 2 species